AUGGACACGGUCACCGCGACCAUGUUACGCUCACCGCACCCGCGCCCUGCAUCCUGGCCGCCUAGUGCGCGUCCUGGCCGUGCCGACACGCCCUCUGUCCGCAGCACAGGCCACUCGGCCCGCGCCCUGACCGGCGCCCGACCGUGCUCGCGCGUGGCCGCGCCCAUCCGCUGCCGCGCUGCUGCUUCCGGCCGCCGCUGCCGCUGCUUUGUUUUAGCUGUUGUCGCUGCCUUGUUCUGUUACUUGCAGCGGGGCUGCUCUGCUUGCCACUGCGUGCACUCCUGCUUGCUGCGGCCUACUGCGUUGCUGCUUGCCUCGCGCCCAUGGCUGCUACUGCCGCAGGCUGCUGUUGUUGGAGCUGGCCAUGGCGCUCUCGAACCACCACCUCCCGCUUAUGGGCCGCGGCCCAUGGGGCGCCAUAACCGCCUCCAUCCAAGUCGGGGCGCACAGCCCGGCCCGAUCCCGACGCGAAGGCCUGCCGCAAGAAGGAAGGGGGAGACCGACGCGAAGAGGAGAGGAGAAAAAAGAUCUCAAUUGAUCGCCUCCGCCGCUACACAUCCACGCCGUCGAGAAGCACUUCGGCACCGCUGCGGCCGAACCGGUGCCGCCGCGGCCGGCAGCGACGACUUCGGUGGCCUCUUCUCCGCCGACACCGCCGACCAACUCGCCCUCGAGUUCCCCACCUGCAACCACGUGCGUGACCCAUCCCCUCCCUCAAUCCCCUUCUCUCUCCGCCGGCCUCUUAUCCGUUUGCGCCCCGUUUUCGUUUCCCGGUGGCAGUUCGAUGGGUUCCAGAAGGCGACCAAGGAGAUGGUGAGCAACAAGAAUGGGACGAACACGCUCUCCUUCAUCUUCGACAAGGCGUCAUCGUCGCCGCCGACUCCCGAGCCAGCAUGGGCGGGUACACAUGUGAGUCCCCUGUCCCUUGGCCUCGCAUUCGUGCUAGGGUUUGGUGCUGCGGGGAUUCGAUUUGCUGGCGUGGACGCGUGA
rnacentral:rRNA from 1 species